AUUCAGAUGACGAGUCUCAAAUAGGAUGAAAUGCACGUUCUGAAU
rnacentral:hammerhead_ribozyme from 1 species